rnacentral:tRNA from 1 species
UCCCUGCUGACUUAGAUGGUAAAGACUCUGCCUACAAUGCAGGAGACCCAGGUUCAAUCCCUGGGUCGGGAA